AUUUGUCCCCUUUGCCCAUUUUCCACUGCUUGAGAUGCUGGUGUGCUGAUGUGGUGACUGCCUCUGUAUUGGCCAACUUGUGCGACCUUGGGGUGACAAACAAAAGAUAAAAAGCAUAUACAUAGAGAUCCUUGGUUGUGCCCCAUCCCUCAAAGGUUUUUUGAAAGGAGAGCUUCGGAGGGGAUGCAUAAAGUGAGUGGACGGGAGGAUUAAGGUAGUGGCUCAUGUACCAAGACUUGUGUUUGGAGCUCCUGGACCUGCUCAGUUACCAUGUAUUUAUCCCUCUUUUGGUGCGCUGCCUGGGACUCCUUAUUGCAUGGUCCUAAAUUCAC